rnacentral:lncRNA from 1 species
UCAUCUUAUCUUUUUGUUAUUUAAACAAUUUGGAUUGCUGACAACUUAUGGGUGCUAAUGCCCAUGCAUCUUCCCUGGGGCCACAUCCUGUGAAAUAUGUGACUCUUGUCGACUCGAGCGAUCCAUCUGGCCCGUGACAAUCCAAAUAUAUAAAAUAACAAAAAAAAUAUUAACUUUAUUCCAAAAUAUGCAUCAUAAGAAUAAAAAAAAAGAAUUAUAGAAAUGAUGAUCGUAUUAUGAUUCUUAGAACAACAAAAUCAACAAUAUAUAUUAAUCUAGGAUCUAAUAUGUUACAAUUUUACAAAAACAAUAUAAACUGACAUUUUAUACACCAAAGAAUACUUAACCCAAAGUAUGAGUAAUAGGCCUAUAAGCUUAAUUGUAAACUUUAUGAUGUAUACACACUCUCUCUCUCCUUUUUUUCGUUUUUACCUUCGUUUUCUUUUCUUUUUGAAGAACUAGGUGUUGGGUAUAAAAUACCCUCAGUCGAAGUUCUCAACGGGAUUAACCCUCGCGAGUCUCCUCUGACUCCGACUGCAGGAAGACCUCGUCCGGACUCCUACAGGAGCCGGACUCCGCCCACAACUCCAACUACCAGUAGACUCCGUCCGGACUCCUACGGGAGCCGGGCUCCGUCACCCACUUCAA